UACGAAGGGGGCUAGCGUUGCUCGGAAUCACUGGGCGUAAAGGGUGCGUAGGCGGGUCUUUAAGUCAGGGGUGAAAUCCUGGAGCUCAACUCCAGAACUGCCUUUGAUACUGAGGAUCUUGAGUUCGGGAGAGGUGAGUGGAACUGCGAGUGUAGAGGUGAAAAUUCGUAGAUAUUCGCAAGAACACCAGUGGCGAAGGCGGCUCACUGGCCCGAUACUGACGCUGAGGCACGAAAGCGUGGGGGAGCAAACAGGAUAGAAACCCCAGUACGUCAC
rnacentral:rRNA from 1 species